GGAGGUGUGGCUGAAGUAGUAAAGCUCCAGCCUUGAGUGAAAAACCUAAGGGAGAGCUGGAGGCCCUGAGUUCGAGCCCCAGCACUUGUG
rnacentral:tRNA from 1 species